GUGUUGGAUGGCAGAGUGUGUUACGCACACAAGCGAGAAAACAACUUGGAUCUUGGGCACAAUCAUUUUCUCUUUGCAUCCACUUAAAUAAUUAGAUAGAACAGUUGUUGCUGUUGCACUAAAGUGUGAAACAACCUAGGCACAAUUUGACGACAUGGCCACCAGGUGCUCCUAGAACUCUUUUUGGUCUAAAUUUCUACAUAGAUAUGCCAAUUAGAUCUAGAAGGUAUCCCAAAUACCUAAAAGUCGCUAAGGAUGGGACAAAGAGAAAGCUCAUGGCAUUCAAGAAAAAAGAAAACAUUAUUGGGAAUUUUUAUUUUAA